GCCGGGCAUGGUGGCACAGCCUGUAAUCCCAACAGCUCGGGAGGCUGAGGCAGGAGGAUCACGAGUUCAAAGCCAGCCUCAGCAAAAGUGAGGCUUUAGGCAACUCAGUGAGACCCUGUCUCUA
rnacentral:sRNA from 1 species